GUUAUCACGGGAGACACACGGCGGGUGCUAACGUCCGUCGUGAAGAGGGAAACAACCCAGACCGCCAGCUAAGGUCCCAAAGUCAUGGUUAAGUGGGAAACGAUGUGGGAAGGCCCAGACAGCCAGGAUGUUGGCUUAGAAGCAGCCAUCAUUUAAAGAAAGCGUAAUAGCUCACUGGUCGAGUCGGCCUGCGCGGAAGAUGUAACGGGGCUAAACCAUGCACCGAAGCUGCGGCAGCGAACGUAUCACCCAAGACAACUUUACGGAGUUGACGAUUGACGGAGCGAAGCGACGUCAAAGCGUUCAUUAAAGUCGAGUUGGCUUAGGGAUACGUUCGUUGGGUAGGGGAGCGUUCUGUAAGCCUGUGAAGGUGUGUCGUGAGGCAUGCUGGAGGUAUCAGAAGUGCGAAUGCUGACAUAAGUAACGAUAAAGCGGGUGAAAAGCCCGCUCGCCGGAAGACCAAGGGUUCCUGUCCAACGUUAAUCGGGGCAGGGUGAGUCGACCCCUAAGGCGAGGCCGAAAGGCGUAGUCGAUGGGAAACGGGUUAAUAUUCCCGUACUUGGUGUUACUGCGAAGGGGGGACGGAGAAGGCUAUGUUGGCCGGGCGACGGUUGUCCCGGUUUAAGCGUGUAGGUGUGUGUUCCAGGUAAAUCCGGUUCACUUUAACACUGAGGCGUGAUGACGAGGCACUACGGUGCUGAAGCAACAAAUGCCCUGCUUCCAGGAAAAGCCUCUAAGCAUCAGGUAACAUCAAAUCGUACCCCAAACCGACACAGGUGGUCAGGUAGAGAAUACCAAGGCGCUUGAGAGAACUCGGGUGAAGGAACUAGGCAAAAUGGUGCCGUAACUUCGGGAGAAGGCACGCUGACACGUAGGUGAAGUGAUUUACUCACGGAGCUGAAGUCAGUCGAAGAUACCAGCUGGCUGCAACUGUUUAUUAAAAACACAGCACUGUGCAAACACGAAAGUGGACGUAUACGGUGUGACGCCUGCCCGGUGCCGGAAGGUUAAUUGAUGGGGUCAGCGCAAGCGAAGCUCCUGAUCGAAGCCCCGGUAAACGGCGGCCGUAACUAUAACGGUCCUAAGGUAGCGAAAUUCCUUGUCGGGUAAGUUCCGACCUGCACGAAUGGCGUAAUGAUGG
rnacentral:rRNA from 1 species